ACGGAUAUGCUGAAAUGGUAAACAGACCUUGUUUAGGCCAAGGUGACGAAAGUUUUGUGUGUUCAAGUCGCACUAUCUGUA
rnacentral:tRNA from 1 species